AUACGUAGGGUGCGAGCGUUGUCCGGAAUUACUGGGCGUAAAGAGCUCGUAGGUGGUUUGUCGCGUCGUCUGUGAAAUUCCGGGGCUUAACUCCGGGCGUGCAGGCGAUACGGGCAUAACUUGAGUACUGUAGGGGAGACUGGAAUUCCUGGUGUAGCGGUGAAAUGCGCAGAUAUCAGGAGGAACACCGGUGGCGAAGGCGGGUCUCUGGGCAGUAACUGACGCUGAGGAGCGAAAGCAUGGGUAGCGAACAGGAUUAGAUACCCGGGUAGUCCAUGCCGUAAACGGUGGGCGCUAGGUGUAGGGGUCUUCCACGACUUCUGUGCCGUAGCUAACGCAUUAAGCGCCCCGCCUGGGGAGUACGGCCGCAAGGCUAAAACUCAAAUGAAUUGACGGG
rnacentral:rRNA from 1 species